AUUGAACGCUGGCGGCAGGCUUAACACAUGCAAGUCGAGCGGAGAUGAGGUGCUUGCACCUUAUCUAAGCGGCGGACGGGUGAGUAAUGCUUAGGAAUCUGCCAUUUAGUGGGGGACAACAUUCCGAAAGGAAUGCUAAUACCGCAUACGUCCUACGGGAGAAAGCAGGGGAUCUUCGGACCUUGCGCUAAAUGAUGAGCCUAAGUCGGAUUAGCUAGUUGGUGGGGUAAAGGCCUACCAAGGCGACGAUCUGUAGCGGGUCUGAGAGGAUGAUCCGCCACACUGGGACUGAGACACGGCCCAGACUCCUACGGGAGGCAGCAGUGGGGAAUAUUGGACAAUGGGCGGAAGCCUGAUCCAGCCAUGCCGCGUGUGUGAAGAAGGCCUUUUGGUUGUAAAGCACUUUAAGCGAGGAGGAGGCUACUAGUACUAAUACUACUGGAUAGUGGACGUUACUCGCAGAAUAAGCACCGGCUAACUCUGUGCCAGCAGCCGCCGCCG
rnacentral:rRNA from 1 species